UGGGGAAUAUUGCACAAUGGGCGCAAGCCUGAUGCAGCAACGCCGCGUGAACGAUGAAGGUCUUCGGAUCGUAAAGUUCUGUUGCAGGGGAAGAUAAUGACGGUACCCUGUGAGGAAGCCCCGGCUAACUACGUGCCAGCAGCCGCGGUAAUACGUAGGGGGCUAGCGUUAUCCGGAUUUACUGGGCGUAAAGGGUGCGUAGGUGGUCCUUCAAGUCGGUGGUUAAAGGCUACGGCUCAACCGUAGUAAGCCGCCGAAACUGGAGGACUUGAGCGCAGGAGAGGAAAGUGGAAUUCCCAGUGUAGCGGUGAAAUGCGUAGAUAUUGGGAGGAACACCAGUAGCGAAGGCGGCUUUCUGGACUGCAACUGACACUGAGGCACGAAAGCGUGGGUAGCAAACAGG
rnacentral:rRNA from 1 species